rfam:Capsicum annuum cultivar Zunla-1 chromosome 5, whole genome shotgun sequence
AGAAUCUUAGUUGAACAGGAUCUGUUCUAUAGGCUCAUACCACUGUACUCUUGAGUUCUAAGGAGAUAGGAAACCAAGUCUAGUUGAUGAAGUAUGACAAUGAGACCAGGCAUGAUUAACAGUCCCCAUGGUCCUUAGUGGCCAUGGAACCGUAGAGGAUAGUUCUCAGCUCCGGUUGGUGGCCUGGGAUGGUCUAGCUGGCUGACAGACU